rnacentral:rRNA from 1 species
UACAGAGGGGGCAAGCGUUAUUCGGAAUUAUUGGGCGUAAAGGGUGCGCAGGCGGCCGAGUGUGUGAGGCGUGAAAGCCCGGGGCUUAACCCCGGAAUUGCACCUCAAACUACACGGCUAGAGCAUUGGAGAGGGUAGCGGAAUUCACGGUGUAGCAGUGAAAUGCGUAGAUAUGCGGAGGAACACCGAUGGCGAAGGCAGUCCCCUGGGCCUGUACUGACGCUCAUGCACGAAAGCGUGGGGAGCAAACAGG